UACGAAGGUGGCAAGCGUUACUCGGAAUUACUAGGCGUAAAGGGCAGGUAGGUGGUUCGAUAAGUCUGUUGUGAAAGCUCCCGGCUUAACUGGGAGAGGUCAACAGAAACUGUCGGGCUUGAGUAUAGGAGAGGGUACUGGAAUUCCCGGUGUAGCGGUGAAAUGCGCAGAUAUCGGGAGGAACACCAAUGGCGAAAGCAGGUACCUGGACUAUUACUGACACUCAGCUGCGAAAGCUAGGGGAGCAAACAGG
rnacentral:rRNA from 1 species